rnacentral:rRNA from 1 species
GAUAGUUGGUGGGGUAACGGCCCACCAAGUCAGUGAUCUUUAGGGGGCCUGAGAGGGUGAUCCCCCACACUGGUACUGAGACACGGACCAGACUCCUACGGGAGGCAGCAGUGAGGAAUAUUGGACAAUGGGUGAAAGCCUGAUCCAGCCAUCCCGCGUGAAGGACGACGGCCCUACGGGUUGUAAACUUCUUUUGUAUAGGAAUAAACCCAGAUACGUGUAUCUGGCUGAAGGUACUAUACGAAUAAGCACCGGCUAACUCCGUGCCAGCAGCCGCGGUAAUACGGAGGGUGCAAGCGUUAUCCGGAUUUAUUGGGUUUAAAGGGUCCGUAGGCGGACCUGUAAGUCAGUGGUGAAAUCUCAUAGCUUAACUAUGAAACUGCCAUUGAUACUGCAGGUCUUGAGUAAAUUAGAGGUAGCUGGAAUAAGUAGUGUAGCGGUGAAAUGCAUAGAUAUUACUUAGAACACCAAUUGCGAAGGCAGGUUACCAUGAUUUAACUGACGCUGAGGGACGAAAGCGUGGGGAGCGAACAGGAUUAGAUACCCUGGUAGUCCACGCCGUAAACGAUGCUAACUCGUUUUUGGGGCUUCGGCUUCAGAGACCAAGCGAAAGUGAUAAGUUAGCCACCUGGGGAGUACGUUCGCAAGAAUGAAACUCAAAGGAAUUGACGGGGGCCCGCACAAGCGGUGGAUUAUGUGGUUUAAUUCGAUGAUACGCGAGGAACCUUACCAAGGCUUAAAUGGGAAAUGACAGGUUUAGAAAUAGAUCCUUCUUCGGACAUUUUUCAAGGUGCUGCAUGGUUGUCGUCAGCUCGUGCCGUGAGGUGUUAGGUUAAGUCCUGCAACGAGCGCAACCCCUGUCACUAGUUGCUACCAUUAAGUUGAGGACUCUAGUGAGACUGCCUACGCAAGUAGAGAGGAAGGUGGGGACGACGUCAAAUCAUCACGGCCCUUACGCCUUGGGCCACACACGUAAUACAAUGGCCGGUACAGAGGGCAGCUACCAUGCGAAUGGAUGCAAAUC